ensembl:misc_RNA 7SK 7SK RNA
GUAAGUGUCUUCAUUGGGCUGUGACAUCCCAUUGAUUAGCAGGGUUGAUUUGGUCAAUCUGGCUACACAAAUGUCCCCUUCCUCCAUCUCUGUUCCAUAUGUGUAUCUCCCCAAGAUGUGGGGUUGAUCGAAGAUGACUGCCUUCCCAGAUAGGGGAGGAUGGAUCUUCAUUCAAGGAUAUAGGAAUAACUACACUCUCCUGUUAGAACCUUCAAUCAAUCUCUCAAAAUUUUGAUUACUACUUAAACAUAUACUUUAGGGGGGCAAUUUGAUACCACUCUUAUAGG